rnacentral:rRNA from 1 species
GAUGAACGCUGGCGGCGUGCCUAAUACAUGCAAGUCGAGCGAACAGACGAGGAGCUUGCUCCUCUGACGUUAGCGGCGGACGGGUGAGUAACACGUGGAUAACCUACCUAUCAGACUGGGAUAACUUCGGGAAACCGGAGCUAAUACCGGAUAAUAUAUUGAACCGCAUGGUUCAAUAGUGAAAGACGGUUUUGCUGUCACUUAUAGAUGGAUCCGCGCCGCAUUAGCUAGUUGGUAAGGUAACGGCAUACCAAGGCAACGAUGCGUAGCCGACCUGAGAGGGUGAUCGGCCACACUGGAACUGAGACAGGGUCAAGAGUCCUGAGGGAGGCAGCAGUAGGGAAUCUUCCGCAAUAGGCGAGAGCCUGACGGAGCAACGCCGCGUGAGUGAUGAAGGUCUUCGGAUCGUAAAACUCUGUUAUUAGGGAAGAACAAAUGUGUAAGUAACUAUGCACGUCUUGACGGUACCUAAUCAGAAAGCCACGGCUAACUACGUG